rnacentral:pre_miRNA from 1 species
CGGAGUCGCCGUGCUCGACCACGUCGAGGACGCGGUCGCUGACCUCGGUGGUCUCGUCCUCGUCGUCGGGCACCGGCGCACGGA